rnacentral:rRNA from 1 species
GAUGAACGCUCGCUACAGGCUUAACACAUGCAAGUCGAGGGGCAGCAUGGUCUUAGCUUGCUAAGGCCGAUGGCGACCGGCGCACGGGUGAGUAACACGUAUCCAACCUGCCGUCUACUCUUGGACAGCCUUCUGAAAGGAAGAUUAAUACAAGAUGGCAUCAUGAGUUCACAUGUUCACAUGAUUAAAGGUAUUCCGGUAGACGAUGGGGAUGCGUUCCAUUAGAUAGUAGGCGGGGUAACGGCCCACCUAGUCUUCGAUGGAUAGGGGUUCUGAGAGGAAGGUCCCCCACAUUGGAACUGAGACACGGUCCAAACUCCUACGGGAGGCAGCAGUGAGGAAUAGUGGUCAAUGGGCGAGAGCCUGAACCAGCCAAGUAGCGUGAAGGAGGACUGCCCUAUGGGUUGUAAACUUCUUUUAUAAAGGAAUAAAGUCGGGUAUGUAUACCCGUUUGCAUGUACUUUAUGAAUAAGGAUCGGCUAACUCCGUG